GUUUUCUUCAAAACCAUGGCUGGAUCUUAAACCGAAAAAAAUCAGUACUCAUCCCCACGAGAGAGAGAGUUUCUCGGAUUCACGAUAGAUUCAGUCUACAUGUCAAUUUUUCUUCCCAAACGAAAAAGGAGGAAAACCAGAGAAGAGAUUUCCAAUCUCCAAAGGAUGGAAACUUGUUCCUUCAGACAGGCAAUGGGUGUUUUGGGUCUUCUAAUUGCCACCUUUCCAGCUGUCAAAUGGGCAAGGUCGGAGGUCAGGCCGUUGCAAUGGAAUAUCCUCACUACCUGGAAAACAUCAGAAUGCCUUUCAGGAGGAUUAUCCUUUCGACCAAAGGAUUGGAUGGUAGUCACUACAGACGCCUCAAGCACAGGUUGGGGAGCUCACUUAGGAUCCACCAUGUUCCAAGGAAGAUGGUCAUCGGGGGAGGCCAAAGAAUCUGCAGAUUUCAGGGACUUGUUAGCAGUACUUUACGCACUACUUCACCUCAGGACUUGGAUACUACAAAAAGCAGUGAUGAUACAAUCGGACAGUAGUCUCAUAUCAAUCGUCAAGGAGGAACCAAAGUAAGGAAGCUUUUCGGUCUUUGUGCAGAAAUUAUGGAAUGGUCACAAAAAACCUGGAAGAUAUCAAAGCAGUUCACAUAAGAGGCAGCGAC